rnacentral:rRNA from 1 species
AGUGAACGCUGGCGGUAGGCCUAACACAUGCAAGUCGAACGGCAGCACAGUAAGAGCUUGCUCUUACGGGUGGCGAGUGGCGGACGGGUGAGGAAUACAUCGGAAUCUACUUUUUCGUGGGGGUUAACGUAGGGAAACUUACGUUAAUACCGCAUACGACCUACGGGUGAAAGCAGGGGAUCUUCGGACCUUGCGCGAUUGAUUGAGCCGAUGUCGGAUUAGCUAGUUGGCGGGGUAAAGGCCCACCAAGGCGACGAUCCGUAGCUGGUCUGAGAGGAUGAUCAGCCACACUGGAACUAAGACACGGUCCAGACUCCUACGGGAGGCAGCAGUGUGGAAGAUUGGACAAUGGGCGCAAGCCUGAUCCAGCCAUACCGCGUGGGUGAAGAAGGCCUUCGGGUUGUAAAGCCCUUUUGUUGGGAAAGAAAAGCAGCAGGUUAAUACCCCGCUGUUCUGACGGUACCCAAAGAAGAAGCACCGGCUAACUUCGUG